rnacentral:lncRNA from 1 species
AUGAACUUCUCUGGAAAACGAAGACAAGGAGGCAGGAUGGCUGCGCCCGCACUGCGCCUGCGCAGCAGAGUGCACUGUUCCCAAUGGAAGUGCAGCGCGUGGCGAAGUCAAAGGAGGGGGCCGCGGAGGGUCAGCGGAGAGCCGAGCCCCGGGGCGCAGGGCGGCUUGCUGGGAGAUGAGGCUCCUGCGCAGAAGGGGCUGCGGGAAACGCACGGGCUCGAGGGAGCGUCGCUCUGCGCGUGUCCACCCGGCUCUGCCAUCAGCUCUCGCACUCAGGGCCGCACGCUUCAGAAAGGGCUGCGGGAGCGGGAGAGCAGCAAGGACCUCUGCACACCGAGGGAUGGGGUGCUGGCUCAGCUCAUGCUCCAGCAGGAGAGGAUGCGUCUCAGCAUGAUGAAGAAAUGUGACAUCAGCACAGCAGACAGAGGGCAGCAAGCCAGGGGUCCGGACGUGGACUUCCCGGCCCCACGUGCCAGUUUACACUUGUUCGUCCUUACCUGUGCUCCAAUCCAUCUGAAGCCUUGUCAGGAAGCUCUGUCUUCCGUUACAUUAAAGCCCUUGGUGGAGCAUGUACUUUGACUGGAUCUUUUACUCAUGUACAAUUUUGUAACAACCUGCAUUGUCAUUAGCAAAUUAUUGGUUCACUUAGCUAAAUGGGUCUUCCAGAUGUCAACAUAUUUCGUUGUACAGUAAAAAUACAUCGUAUUCAUUACUGUCAUCAUUGAUCUCAUCAGAGAAGCCUCUAAGUAUUGGGAAACUACCAAACUCACCGUGGCCAAUACAAGUUUUCCAAACUCCCAGUAAUUGUCUGAAAUCUCAGAUAUUUUGACAACAAGCUCUGUUCAUUGUUCUCCUUGAAGGGACAGGCUUAUUUCAUUUGGUUUCCAGAAAAUGUCUGCAUAACCAUAGUUUGUCAGCAUUUUUUCCUAGUGAAAUAGUGUCCCUUGAAAAAAAGUGGAAAGAUCAGCUCACAGCUCAGUCACAUAGCCUUGAGACAACCAUGGCACUUCAGCUUGAAGAAGUGCUUCAGCAGGCUUCCCAUUCCAUCACACAGAUUAUUAGGAAGACGUGAAGUCAUUGGUCAAGACUGAAGAAAGUUGACAGUUGUUAACACUUCAUCAGGAACAUUCUUAAGUGGAGCUGGCAUUUUUGUCACAUUGUGUGCCAGGUGGUGGAGAGUGCCACUUGCCUCCCCCAGCAAAGUUUGGUAUCUCUGCUAAGAUGUCAGCAGUUUUACUCACCAUGACUUGACCCACCAUCAGUUGACCCACCAUCAACUUGACCCAUCAUCACUUGACCCACCAUUGACUUGACCCACCAUUGAUUUGACCCACCAUUGACUUGACCCGCCAUCGCUUGACCUGCCAUCAACUUGACCCACCUUGACUUGACCCAUCAUGACUUGACUCACCUUGACUUGACCCAUCAUGACUUGACCCACCACUGACUUGACCUACCAUUGACUUGACCCGCCAUGCCUUGCUUCUUCUGUGCAAAUGUUAACACAGUGAAAAAGGUAAACACAUCUGUGCUGGGUGAAUAGUGUCCCCCAAAAGUCAUGUGCAACCUGUGGAUGUGA